rnacentral:rRNA from 1 species
UACGUAGGGUGCGAGCGUUGUCCGGAAUUAUUGGGCGUAAAGAGCUCGUAGGCGGUUUGUUGCGUCGGCCGUGAAAACCUGCAGCUUAACUGUGGGCCUGCGGCCGAUACGGGCAGACUUGAGUUCGGUAGGGGAGACUGGAAUUCCUGGUGUAGCGGUGAAAUGCGCAGAUAUCUGGAAGAACACCGGUGGCGCAAGCGGCUUGCUGGGCUGUAACUGACGCUGAGGAACGAAAGCUAGGGUAGCGAAUGGG